GAGAGAGAGACAGAGAGGAAGGUCUUCCUUUGCCAUUGGUUCACCCUCCAAUGGCCACCACAGCCGGUGCACCACGCUGAUCCAAAGCCAGGAACCAGGUGCUUCUCCUGGUCUCCCAUGGGGUGCAAGGCCCAAGCACCUGCACGAUCCUCCACUCCACUCUCGGGCCAUAGCAGAGAGCUGGCCUGGAAGAGGGGCAACCGGGACAGAAUCCGGCGCCCCAACCGGGACUAGAACCCGAUGUGCCGGCACCGCAGACAGAGGGUUAGCCUAUUGAGCUGCAGUGCCAGCCAAGUAAUAUCUAUCCUUUAAAAGUAAAAACCAAAAACAAGGAUGGCAGUAUAUUUAUGCAUGUACAUCCAAACUACUACCUGGAGAUGUGGUACUGGCUCUUGGAAGGCAGCCCUUCAACACGUAAUCAGCUGAGCUUCAUACCACACAGUGGCAAGCUGGUGAUGCACUUGUCCUAAGACACACUGCUUCACCCAUUUCUUUCUCUCACUUGUGUUUCUUAGGGAUUGGACUCCAUGACAAGAAUCUUACCUGAGGGCCGAUGCUGUGGCACAUCAGGUUAAAGUUCUGGCCUGCAGCGCUGCCAUCCCAUAUGGGCACUGGUUCGGGUCCUGGCUGCUCCACUUUGGAUCCAGCUUCCUGUUAAUGCACCUGGGAAAGCAGUGGAGGAUCGCCCAAGUCCUUGGGCUCCUGCACCCAUAGAGGGGACCUAGAAGAAGUGCACAGUUCCUGGCUUUGGAUCAGCUCAGCUCCGGCCGUUAUGGCCAUUUGGGGAGUGAACCAGCGGAUGGAAGACCUCUCUCUCUCUCUCUCUCUCUCUCUCUCUCUCUGUCUCUACCUCUCUCUGUAACU